CUUUUUUUUUUUUUUGUGAUUCAUUCCUGCCUGCGGUUUCUUUCAUCUUGCUGCUGCAAAAAGAUGUAUACCGCCGCACAAAAGAUUCACAAGGACCUGAAUGCUGAGCCCACUGAAUUUGAGGAGAAUGUUGCCCAGGCUCUGUUUGAUUUGGAAAACACAAUCAAGAAAUCAAGAGCGAUCUGAAAGACCUCUACAUCAACUCUGCGUUGUAAGCCGUC